rnacentral:rRNA from 1 species
GCGGGAAAAGCUCAAAUUUAAAAUCUGGCGGUCUCUGGCCGUCCGAGUUGUAAUCUAGAGAAGUAAUGCCCGCGCUGGACCGUGUACAAGUCUCCUGGGAUGGAGCAUCAUAGAGGGUGAGAAUCCCGUCUCUGACACGGACUACCAGGGCUUUGUGGUAUGCUCUCAAAGAGUCGAGUUGUUUGGGAAUGCAGCUCAAAAUGGGGGGUAAAUUCCAUCUAAAGCUAAAUAUUGGCGAGAGACCGAUAGCGAACAAGUACCGUGAGGGAAAGAUGAAAAGAACUUUGGAAAGAGAGUUAAACAGUACGUGAAAUUGCUGAAAGGGAAACGCUUGAAGUCAGUCGCGUUGGCCAGGAAUCAGCCUCGCUUUUGCGUGGUGUACUUUCUGGUUGAUGGGUCAGCAUCAAUUUUGACCACUGGAAAAAGGCCUGGGGAAUGUGGCAGCUUCGGCUGUGUUAUAGCCUCUGGUUGCAUACAGUGGUUGGGAUUGAGGAACUCAGCACGCCGCAAGGCCGGGUUUCGACCACGUUCGUGCUUAGGAUGCUGGCAUAAUGGCUUUAAGCGACCCGUCUUGAAACACGGACCAAGGAGUCUAACAUGCCUGCGAGUAUUUGGGUGAAAAACCCGAGUGCGUAAUGAAAGUGAAAGUUGAGAUCCCUGUCGUGGGGAGCAUCGACGCCCGGACCAGAACUUUUGGGACGGAUCCGCGGUAGAGCAUGUAUGUUGGGACCCGAAAGAUGGUGAACUAUGCCUGAAUAGGGUGAAGCCAGAGGAAACUCUGGUGGAGGCUCGUA